CACGCAGUGUUGAGCCUGACUGCAAGUAAAGCAAAAGCAUCCACAGGAAACUGAAGAAGGAAGUUUUCUCGAACGAAAAUCGAAUUUUCUCCAGCGUUGGAAAUCAGAAGGGAUUUGGAAAUCAGCUGCUGUUUAAGAAAAAACAACUCAAAGAAUAACCGUGACGAAGUGUUUAAUUUGUGCAAUCGUCAAAGCUAGUGAUUUCAUUUGAGAGUCAUCAAAAAAAAAUUCCCCAUCAUGUGUGGAGGCUUUCAUUGCUCCAAAAAUGCAUUAAUUGCAUUGAACAUCCUUUAUGUCAUGGUUGGCUUCCUGCUCAUCGGCGUCGGAGUCUAUGGCCGGGCUUCGUCCAUCGUGACCAAUCUGCCCAUUAUCGGCGGUAUCCUAGCCUGCGGAGUUAUUCUGAUCCUGAUCUCGAUUCUCGGCCUCGUCGGAGCUGUCAAGCAUCACCAGGUGAUGCUGUUCUUUUACAUGAUCAUUCUGUUCAUGCUGUUCCUGAUUCAGUUCUCGAUUGCCUGCUCCUGUUUGGCGGUCAACCAGAGCCAGCAGCGUCAGUUCGCCGAGCAGGGCUGGUCCCUGGCGCCGAUCGAAAUCAAGCAGCAGGUGCAGGAGGAGUUCCUGUGCUGUGGAUUCAACUCAACCGUGACCGACGACCAUCUCUCCUGUACGGCGGUUGAAGCCAUAUGCUGCCCGGGAGGUCUGAGUGGUUGCUCCUGCCCGCCGUGUAUGCCCAAGCUAGAGAGCACCAUCGACUACGCAUUCCGUUUGUCGGGUGGAAUCGGACUGUUCUUCAGCUUCACAGAGUUUAUCGGUGUCUGGCUGACCGUGCGCUACCGCAACCAGAAAGAUCCCCGGGGUAACCCGAGUGCUUUCCUAUAAGAUUGGGACGAUCCUGUGACGGAGCUCUAAGGAAUUUGUCUGUUUUGGUUCAUUUAGUUUGACUUUUUUUUGAGUUUUGUAUUGCUUGAGAGAAGGGGAGGGGAAAGCGCACCGCUAGAUCGAUUGUUUUCGAUUCUUCUUCGAAUGGCGACCACGACAACAACGGCUCUUUUGCUGAUCAUUGCCGUAUUCCUGACCCGUCGCUAUCGCAACCAGCAGGAUCCGGACCACCUGCCGGCUAGGGCCAUUUUUCCGCAAAGCAACUACGUGUACUAGUCAACUUGGUAGGUAAAUGGAAAAUGGUGAUCCAAUAGAGAAACAAAUAGAACAGAGCUGAUAGCUAGGAAAGGUUGGAAUUGCCUGCAAGUGAUGAACUCGCAAAAAAUGGUAAUGCGACUCGCUAGAAUCCAAAAAAAAUAUAUCGAAUUUUUUCCCGUGACCACACUGUCGAACUGGAAUAAAGAGAAUACUCAUUUAUGUGGCUCCUAGCUAGGAUUAACACACAUUACAGGAAGGGGAAUCGGAUCACAAAAGACAACGGUUGUGCUAAUUUUAAUUAGUUCAUUUUUUUCCGCUUUAGUUUUUUUUAACUUUAGACUGACAGGGAAGAGGCGGAUGUUAAACUUCAAAUACGAGUGAAUGAGUGUGUUUUAAGUUACGAUGAACUUUCCAAGUCGAAACAACUUGUCAUCAUUAUGAUCUUAAGUAGGAUUAAAUGAUUCCGUUUUUUUUUCAUUUUUCUUAUAACGGUCUCCAAUUGUUGAACAGAUUUAUCCGUUCUAAACUAAAGAAAAUAUUGUGAUAAGCUCCAAACAGGAUUUAUAUCUCACCUCACUAAUCUCCUUCAUCUGCGCCAGUGACGCCAUCUGUAGUCAGACUCAUCUCGCGUUCGUGAUGUUCGCCAACAGCUGGCGCUGCUUAUGUUUGCACGUAAAAAAAAUCUCGAAACUUUAACCGGUAUAUCCUUGUAUCAUCUUAAUGUAGUAUACGUAAUUGUACACGCGUUUUCUCAAAGUAGAAUGUCUAGCGGUGAACAUUAGAACACGAUCAAAAACAGCAGCUUUAAAUCGAAUUUGUUUUGCUCAAAACAAGAUGGCUUACUUAAUGUAAACAAUUAAAUUUCGUUUUCCCGUAUGUCCGGAAGCUAUCAUCGCUUUAUUUUCAAGGCUUCCGCUCAACAGUACGCAUCACUAUUUACUCCUGCACUAUUGUUCGGCUGCGUUCGAAGACAUUUACAUUAUAUUUAUAUUAUACAGGUCGUGUACUAAUUGCAGGUACACUGACCCCACAUGCAUAUUUAUAUGGGUCACUUUGUAACAAUAGUUGGUCACUCCAUUUUACAUGUAGGUCAAAUGAAAAUGACUCAUAUUAGUGCUAGACCCAUGAUUGUGGAGUCAGUGUAAUAAAAAUGAAGGGUACUCCACUCCCACAGGUAAUUUACUUGAAUAAACUUAUCCAUGUUUGAAAUCAUUAUAAAUUUCAAUUAAUAAAAUCAUCAACCAAAGUUCAAAAGUGAAUGACAAAGUUUCACAUUGAACUUCGACGUUUUUUGAAAAUAAAAAUUAAAAAUAUUCAAUUAAGACGACUACAACUUUGAUGCUGGGUGGAGUACUGAGGUAUAAAAUUGCCUUCAAGAUUAAUCCUCAAUGUAAUUUGUUAAUUUGGCCGAAGCGAAAAAAAAGCAUACAAAAUGUAUAAUCAGGUGUGAAAGACAUUAUAUAGAGGUAGCCUAGGUUGCAGCUAAAUGGAUCCGCUAUAAUGAAACAAGUGAAUCGCAAUUAACUAGACUAUGGGGUGUAGUAGAAAAGGCCGAAGUAUAAAUAUAGAAAUGUGAUGUGUCUAA